rnacentral:rRNA from 1 species
CCUACGGGGGGCAGCAGUGAGGAAUAUUGGUCAAUGGGCGGGAGCCUGAACCAGCCAAGUCGCGUGAGGGAAGACGGUCCUAUGGAUUGUGAACCUCUUUUGUCGGGGAGCAAAGAGAUCACGUGUGGUCAAAAGCGAGAGUACCCGAAGAAAAAGCAUCGGCUAACUCCGUGCCAGCAGCCGCGGUAAUACGGAGGAUGCGAGCGUUAUCCGGAUUUAUUGGGUCUAAAGGGUGCGCAGGCGGAAGAUCAAGUCAGCGGUAAAAUUGAGAGGCUCAACCUCUUCGAGCCGUUGAAACUGGUUUU